AUUGAACGCUGGCGGCAGGCCUAACACAUGCAAGUCGGACGGUAGCACAGGGGAGCUUGCUCCUCGGGUGACGAGUGGCGGACGGGUGAGUAAUGUCUGGGGAUCUGCCCGAUAGAGGGGGAUAACCACUGGAAACGGUGGCUAAUACCGCAUAAUGUCGCAAGACCAAAGAGGGGGACCUUCGGGCCUCUCACUAUCGGAUGAACCCAGAUGGGAUUAGCUAGUAGGCGGGGUAACGGCCCACCUAGGCGACGAUCCCUAGCUGGUCUGAGAGGAUGACCAGCCACACUGGAACAGAGACACGGUCCAGACUCCUACGGGAGGCAGCAGUGGGGAAUAUUGCACAAUGGGCGCAAGCCUGAUGCAGCCAUGCCGCGUGUAUGAAGAAGGCCUUCGGGUUGUAAAGUACUUUCAGCGGGGAGGAAGGCGAUGUGGUUAAUAACCGCGUCGAUUGACGUUACCCGCAGAAGAAGCACCGGCUAACUCCGUGCCAGCAGCCGCGGUAA
rnacentral:rRNA from 1 species